UAGCCACAGGUGAAUCAAAUGUGCAAAUUCCCCUUGGUGGCCUUCCUGGGUCUCACAUCUAGUUCUUAUCUCUCAAAGACCUGCUCCACCUGCAAUUACAGAUUUGUCCCUGCCUUUGACUUUUAAUACAGAUCAGUGACAGUGCUACUUAUUUGCCCUGUGCAAGGAGUGAAGAAGGGUUUAAUGUGCAUCCUGACAUCAGGCUGGAGUUGGAGAGUUUAUGUAAAGCUUUUCUGCCAUCUUCAGUGCCCAUAUUUUGCAUUAUGGAUGUCAGUAUUUCACGGCAGUCAACACCGAGCCUUUGACAGCACUGAGGCACCUGAGUUCUCCAGCAAGCCAAAACAGCCAGACCUCUGCCUUCCCAUCAGUCCUGAAAAACAGUCAUACCCUCUUCUUAAUAUAAACAAAGGCUUCUGUCCUGUCCAGGCCACUUUUUCCAACUGCAGUGGUUAACACGUAUUUGGAAAAAUUCUGCAGCCAGCAUAUGUUUGUCUUCUCACAAUUUCAAAAAUGAUUUUGCUGGAGGAAGGAAGCCUCCCCCUUCAUUGUCCCCUCCAGCUGGAAAAUCACCUCUAAUCUUACUGUCCUUUUUCCUGCUAUGUAUCCUGCCAAUUAAAACUGGGUUUUGUUAUUAACUGCAAAUAAUGUGGCUAAGCCUUCGGUAGU